AGAUGAGGGGGCGAGGACGGCGCCUGCGCGACCCCGGGUCCGACCGCCCCCUCCCCUCGUGCAGCGCACCCUCCGCCCCUCGGGACUUGCAGUCUAGGCGCCUGCGGGUGACCUGGAACCCUAGCUGCAACCAGGCGAGCCGAGACCGAGAAAGUUGAUCUAACCCGGAGCAAACUUGGCUGGAUCAGCUCCCGACGCGCCUCGGCGCCCCCGCCCGGCUCCUCUGCACUCCCCGGGGAGGACCGGAGUUCUGUUCUCGGAUAUUCUUCUCUGUCUCCUUUCUUUGCGCUCACUGCUGAGCAGUUCAACCGGGCGCACACCUCUCCCCCAAGCCAGCCCCGCCAGCCCCGCCAGCCCCGCCACCCGGCUGCAGACCCCGGGAUCAGCCGCGCGUGCUGGGAAGCCCCUGUCGGGGAGGCACGCGUGGGCUCCGGCCCUUUGUCCUGUGCCCGGACGCGCUGCGGGGGCCCGGGUGUUUCGUUGCAUCCCCGCUGGGAAGCGGGCGACCGGGGGCAGUUCCUAAGUGUGCAGAGCUGCCCAGCCCCGCCCCGGCCCCAGGGAGCCGGAGCCGCGGGGAGGCGGGAUGUGGUUUAGCUCAGCUCUAAGCCACCCUCGUAACGCCUGGGGAUAGCGAAGAGGGCUGACGGGGAGCUGGGAGCGGCCCUGCCAGAAAUCUGCAGUCGUCUUUUCUUGCGAGUCAGGCCCGUCCCUGCAGGACAAUGCAGAAUUCCCAUGUGAAAGCCACCCUCCAGGGACCAGGAGGAAAAGCACACUGUCAUCAUCAGAGAUGGGGAGUUGAGGCCAAGAAGAAUCUGUACAGACCACCUCAUGAAAACAGCCUUCUCUUCCUUUUCAACUCCCCCUAUUUCACAAUCAUUGCUGUUUGUUCAACCUGAAUGCAUAUGAACAUUUAGACCUAACCACUUUGGGGGGCAUCAUUUUCCUGUGAAUGCUUUUUUGUAAGUGUAAAAUAGAAUGUGUAUGCUUUUUUGUUGUU